rnacentral:rRNA from 1 species
UACGUAGGGUGCAAGCGUUAAUCGGAAUUACUGGGCGUAAAGCGUGCGCAGGCGGUCUUGUAAGACAGAUGUGAAAUCCCCGGGCUCAACCUGGGACCUGCAUUUGUGACUGCAAGGCUGGAGUACGGCAGAGGGGGAUGGAAUUCCGCGUGUAGCAGUGAAAUGCGUAGAUAUGCGGAGGAACACCGAUGGCGAAGGCAAUCCCCUGGGCCUGUACUGACGCUCAUGCACGAAAGCGUGGGGAGCAAACAGG